GCGGAAGUGAUGGAAUGGCAGACAUGCAAGAUUGAGGGUCUUGUGAGCGUAAGGCUCGUGUGGGUUCAAAUCCCAUUUUCCGCA
rnacentral:tRNA from 1 species